rnacentral:rRNA from 1 species
CACGGUCCAGACUCCUACGGGAGGCAGCAGUGGGGAAUUUUGGACAAUGGGCGCAAGCCUGAUCCAGCAAUGCCGCGUGAGUGAAGAAGGCCUUCGGGUUGUAAAGCUCUUUUGUCAGGGAAGAAACGGCUGUGGCUAAUAUCCACGGCUAAUGACGGUACCUGAAGAAUAAGCACCGGCUAACUACGUGCCAGCAGCCGCGGUAAUACGUAGGGUGCAACCGUUAAUCGGAAUUACUGGGCGUAAAGCGUGCGCAGGCGGUUUUGUAAGUCUGUCGUGAAAUCCCCGGGCUCAACCUGGGAAUUGCGAUGGAGACUGCAAGGCUAGAAUCUGGCAGAGGGGGGUAGAAUUCCACGUGUAGCAGUGAAAUGCGUAGAGAUGUGGAGGAACACCGAUGGCGAAGGCAGCCCCCUGGGUCAAGAUUGACGCUCAUGCACGAAAGCGUGGGGAGCAAACAGGAUUAGAUACCCUGGUAGUCCACGCCCUAAACGAUGUCUACUAGUUGUCGGGUUUUAAUUAACUUGGUAACGCAGCUAACGCGUGAAGUAGACCGCCUGGGGAGUACGGUCGCAAGAUUAAAACUCAAAGGAAUUGACGGGGACCCGCACAAGCGGUGGAUGAUGUGGAUUAAUUCGAUGCAACGCGAAAAACCUUACCUACCCUUGACAUGUCAGGAAGGCCGGAGAGAUCUGGUUGUGCC